rnacentral:lncRNA from 1 species
CCCAGGAUACCCUUUUAAGUAGGAGAGAGGGAGAAGAAAGUACUGUUUUGAUCUAAAAUUAAGCAAACGUUCUUCAAUAAACCCACCAUGAGACUUGACCACUAAUGGUGACCAGCAGUGGCUUUGUCAUGGCCCUGCCCACUGGGGGCAGGCACAUGCCAGGGCCAGGGUAGGCUGCCAGCUGGUGAGCACGAAUAGGUGGCUGGUGGAGCGCACGCAGUGGGAAGGGCAGAUGGCUCCAUUUUGAUUUGUUAGCAAGCUGCUUCCUCGGAAGGGGCUUUCCCUUCAGUGGAGUCUGCACCCCCAGCCUCAGCUGUCUUGGAGCAGAUGUGUAUAGUUAGAGAUGGGGACCUUUUCACUGUAAAUACUGCUCACAUGUUCCUAGGCUGACUUUACUAUGUGCAGAGCCUCUUCCCAAAUAUCCAAAUCCCCUCUGUUGGGUACUACAGAACAGAUGUUACCCUGCCUCCUAUUACAUUAAUUUACGAACUUUACAUAUGCUGAGUUACGGACCCUAAGCUGUUGCAUGUGCUUGGCUCUUAUGUUCCAAAAAGUACAUUUGUAUGGUUUUGUGGAAACUGUGCUGUUCUGCUUUUGCA